rnacentral:rRNA from 1 species
UGCCAGCAGCCGCGGUAAUACGUAGGUCCCGAGCGUUGUCCGGAUUUAUUGGGCGUAAAGCGAGCGCAGGCGGUUUUUUAAGUCUGAAGUUAAAGGCAUUGGCUCAACCAAUGUACGCUUUGGAAACUGGAGAACUUGAGUGCAGAAGGGGAGAGUGGAAUUCCAUGUGUAGCGGUGAAAUGCGUAGAUAUAUGGAGGAACACCGGUGGCGAAAGCGGCUCUCUGGUCUGUAACUGACGCUGAGGCUCGAAAGCGUGGGGAGCAAACAGGAUUAGAUACCCUGGUAGU